GUCAGGGGAAACAGCAUGGCGGACAUGCAUGCGGAGGCUGGCGACGAAUUACAUCGACUGUCCAGCUAACCCCGCCCGAGAGACAAGAGCCAAAUCGGGACGCGUCGAGCCGAACCGAGCCCGGCGAGCGUUGGCCGAACGCCUCAGCGGAAUGGACGAGGAGACGAAGGUCCAGUUUCCGUCUCUGCCUUCCACCAAGGAGGAGCUCCUGGACUGGGCCUAUCCAAUGAGACGUGAAAUGCAGGAAAUAGUACCAGGACUGUUUUUAGGUCCUUACUCUGCUGCCAUGAAAAGCAAGCUGCAGGUUCUGGAGAGACAGGGCAUCACGCACGUCGUGUGUGUGCGCCAAGACAUUGAAGCCAAUUUUAUUAAACCUAAUUUCCCUCAUACAUUUAGAUACCUUGUGUUGGAUAUUGCAGACAAUCCAGUGGAAAAUAUCAUAAGAUUUUUUCCCACGACUAAAGAAUUUAUUGAUGGCUGUUUAGCAACAGGAGGAAAGGUACUGGUUCACGGUAAUGCAGGAAUCUCAAGAAGUGCUGCCUUAGUGAUUGCCUACAUAAUGGAAACAUUUGGAAUGAAAUACAGGGAUGCAUUCAACCACAUCCAGGAAAGGAGGUUCUGCAUUAACCCCAACUUGGGAUUUGUGCAUCAGCUUCAGGAGUAUGAAGCAAUCUACCUCGCCAAACUCACCAUUAAAAUGAUGUCGCCCAUGCAGCUGGGCCGCUCCUUCUUACAAGGAGGCAUGCCAGGAAGCCGUAAGCGCAGCCUGGAGGAAGAUGACGACUUUGGAGCAAUGCAGCUCUUAGUCAGGAUGACGCUCCUCGGGACAACUCAAAGUUUCUAAAUGACGCACUCCAAACCGCAAUGUUCUGCUCGGCUGACGUCAGAGGGUGGCGUGCAAAGCUGCGUUCCAGGCCUGGAGGUUCUCAGUGGGAGAAGCGACACUGCAUGUCUCAGACCAGAGUUCGACUCACAGUUUUCCCAGCUGUUUGCCUCUGCACACGUCACUGACGACCACCUCCUCCACUCGGCCUCUCUGCAAACAACCGCAACAGAUAAGAGUUUUCAUUCAAGCUCAGCAUUACCACCUCAGUGCCCUCAGUCACCUCCUAUACUUAAAGGAAUUUAUAGCGAGGAAGUUGUAUUAAGAGUCAGUAACCUACCUUUGCACAAGAAUGAAUGAAUUUGUGUUCCGUGAUCAAAGUGGCCGUGGCCACAAUUUGUCCUAGAUUGGUGUCCUCCACUACCACCACAUAGUAGUCCCCCGUUUUCUUCAUGUGCUCAAAUUUCUCUGUAGGACAAAAGAUUCAUGAUUUUUUAAUACACAUUUGUUGGUACUCAGCUUACUAAAAUGUAAAAUGAUAAUAAGUGAUGCUGUUGGGCACUUAAGGAUCUGCUUAAAGGCUGCCACACACCGAGCUACGCGGCUAAACCCGACUGAACUGUCGCGGCGUGUGCAUGUUUUGGCAACUGUUUCCAUGAGUGCCCAAUCAGUCUGCCGCUGUUUUUGCCUCGAAUCAAAAUUUUAAUUUCUGGCGCAACAUUGCAGAUUACGGCCAAUCAAAAUGCACAUAAACUUUCACACGUUAAAUAUACAUUUCCGGGCUUUAAGCGAGGGGGACACCACUGUUUUUAUGUCUCAAAGGUAUUCUCUGUCAAUUGACUGUCUGUUGUCGUACUAGAGAAGCUCCAACUACCGUAGACAAAUUCUUUGACUGUUUUGACACACUUGACAAAUAAAGAUGAUUCUGAACAGCCGCCGGUACGUACCGCGCUGGAACGCAUUGCGCUGCUCGCUGUUUGAACACACACACACGCACACAGAGAAAGAGAGAGAGCACUAGCAUAGAAAUGAAGAUCGCAUUUAUUUUGUUCUGUUGUUUCUAGCGUUGGCUAUUUCCCACAGUAGCUGUGUUUCGUUGUUUGACAAUAAGCCCCAUGAUAAACAGACUAGAGUCUCCUGUAAUCAUUGAACCCGUGUACAGUAACUAACAUAAGUAUGUGUGUUACUGUUAAUGGGUUGUGGUCAGCGCUGUUAUUUCCAAGUGUUUUUGAACGCAUCGCUCAGCUCGCAGGCGUGGUCAUGAGGAGAGAGACUCGCAGAGCUAGAAGCUAAUGGUCGUGUUGUUCGUGACUUGGUUGUUCUGCCGUCGGCCAUGGCGGCAAACGUCAGCGCAUGCACACAGAGCAGAAUAUUUAUUUGAAAAACCUAAUAAAAUACGGAUAACACGUCAUGUUUUGAGCAUAUGAAUAGCAGCAAAUCAAUGGUGCAUAUUUUACAUUGGUAUAUGGGUUUUCCUGAUUUUUGGGGUCAAUUUUGGGGGUGCGUAUUAUACACAAGAAAUGAAGGUAAUUUGACUUACUUAUAAACUGGUCUGCGGUGACGUCACCAGUCUCCGUUAAUUGAGAUAAAACCUUAAAGAACCCUGCAAGACAAGAAUGAGCAGCGUAAAUUGAUCAUGUAAAUUUGUGCCUAUCAGCAACCUUGACAUUCAACUCACUUUACACUGAUUUUAAAAGCUGCCAUUCUGUGCCAGAAGGAACAAUCUCAAUGGUAUAUUAGAAUUUAUGUAACAUGAAAACAGAGUGGCGGAACGGUGGACGACUAGUUAGAGCAUCUGCCGCACAGUUCGGAGGACCG